CGCGGCCUAUCAGCUUGUUGGUGAGGUAAAGGCUCACCAAGGCUAUGACGGGUAGCUGGUCUGAGAGGACGAUCAGCCACACUGGGACUGAAACACGGCCCAGACUCCUACGGGAGGCAGCAGUGGGGAAUAUUGGACAAUGGGGGAAACCCUGAUCCAGCAAUGCCGCGUGGAGGAAGAAGGCCCUUGGGUUGUAAACUCCUGUCAUAGGGGAAGAAAGCUUAUUAUAAAAUAUAUGGUAAGUUUGACGGUACCCUAAGAGGAAGCACCGGCUAACUCCGUGCCAGCAGCCGCGGUAAUACGGAGGGUGCAAGCGUUGUUCGGAAUUACUGGGCGUAAAGCGUGUCUAGGUGGGAACGUAAGUCAUGUGUGAAAGACCUUGGCUCAACCAAGGAAUUGCGCCUGAAACUACGUUUCUUGAGUAGCAGAGAGGUGAGUAGAAUUCCUAGUGUAGCAGUGAAAUGCGUUGAUAUUAGGAAGAAUACCAGUUGCGAAGGCAGCUCACUGGCUGCAAACUGACACUGAAGCACGAAAGCGUGGGUAGCAAACAGGAUUAGAUACCCUGGUAGUCCAUGCCGUAAACGUUGGGCACUAGGUGUGGGACCUACUUAACGGGUUCCGUGCCGUAGCUAACGCAUUAAGUGCCCCGCCUGGGGAGUACGG
rnacentral:rRNA from 1 species